UACGGGGGGGGUAAGCGUUGUUCGGAAUUACUGGGCGUAAAGGGCGCGUAGGCGGCCAACUAAGUCAGACGUGAAAUCCCUCAGCUUAACUGGGGAACUGCGUGUGAUACUGGAUGGCUUGGAUUUGGGAGAGGGAUGCGGAAUUCCAGGUGUAGCGGUGAAAUGCGUAGAUAUCUGGAGGAACACCGGUGGCGAAGGCGGCAUCCUGGACCAAUAUUGACGCUGAGGAGCGAAAGCCAGGGGAGCAAACGGG
rnacentral:rRNA from 1 species